rnacentral:lncRNA from 1 species
AUGGAGCCACCCACUGUUGGGGCAGGACUUCCCCUGGGUUGGCUGGCCCACAUGCCAGUCAUCCUUGGACGCGCUCUUGCCCCGGAAGUGAGCUCCCCUCUGUGCUGGACAGCGCCUCACCCGGUGAAGUUGGCACGGGUGACUGUCACCGUGACUGGCUUUCUGGAAACUCAAGGCUCCCGGUACGCAGAUGGCCGAGGCAGUGCAAGUGCCACAAGCAGCCACGGCUCCCGCACCCUGGAGACCUGGCUCAGCCACAUGGGCCACUGGAGCUGCCACAAUGGAGCUGUGGAUGUGAGGCCAGUGGGAGCCAGGAUGGCGCCAGCACCCCACCGACCCAGCCGGCCUGGGCAUUUGUGUCACUCUGUCCUCUGGACUGGGCAGUGCUGCAAAACCAGCAGGCGCGGGGACCGCAGCUGCCAGCGUUUAUGUCUGAGCAGGAGGGACCCCGAUGCCCCCACUCUCAGCACCAGGCUUUGCCUCUGACGUCUCCACCAGUGCGGGAAGGAGCUCCACACCAUGAUACCAGGAGGGAGGCCAUCUGUGUGCCCAUCAGAGUGAGUACCUCCCCCACCAAUGGGCUCCGAGGCCCGGGGACAGGGUGUGGCUGGCGUAGGCAGCACCUUGGGCAAUGAGCAACCUGCACAACAGGACCCAGCAGCCCAGGGUCCAAGAGAGCCCUGGACACUUUCUUGUGGACUGUCAAAAAGUUCUCCUGCCAGCCCACAGAGAAUAAAGAAAAGCAGUUCCACAGCAAAACGUCAGCUCUUGGCUGGCGUCAGUGUCGGCUCUGUGAAACCCUUGCUCUUGUGGAUUGAGAGAGCUCCCUUAGAAGGGCUCAGCUUCUAGGGGAGAACUAGGUGAUGCGGACUCUCGAGCACCAGGCCUGCACAGAAGCAGGGAGGGGGCCCCGUGGGCACCUGCACGGCCAGGGCAUCCCCAGCUGUCCCUCAGACAGGGCCGUGCCCACCUCCCGCCUCAAGCAUCUGGGAAUGCCUGGGCCAUGCGUGUGUGGAGGGGAGAGGCCUGGUGCUCCUCCUUCUUCCCUCUGCCACGGAAGAGGAAACCGAGGCUGGGGAACGAGAAACCACAUCGGCCACACGGAAAGCAAGUGGUGGGAUCUGAAUCUGGAGCCAAAGUGUUUAGCCCUUGGCCACCUCCUCUCAUUCUUCCCAGCUGUGACACUGCUCUGGGACUCAGUUUACCCACCAAGCUCUGCCCUGCCUUGGCUUGGCUGGGAGGAGUGCAGUCAGGACACACAGACCCGAGCAGAGUCACGCGGCCCUACCCGUCCCGGGAGGGUCUCGCUCAGGCGUCGUGCACUACAGUUAAGCACAUGAGGCUGCAGAGGAGGCAAAAACACUGCAUUUUGUAAACUAACUACCUUAUUCCCUCUUUGUUCUGGCCACCAGGAGGCUCAGAGGUGAAUUUAUGAACACUUAAAAUAGUAUGUCACUCCCAAUCAGAAGAUCUUAUGUCUACCCUCACCCCCA